rnacentral:rRNA from 1 species
UACGAGGGGGGCGAGCGUUAUUCGGAAUCACUGGGCGUAAAGCGUGCGUAGGCCGUCUCGCAAGUUGGGAGUGAAAUCCCAGGGCUCAACCCUGGAAUUGCUCUCAAAACUGCAAGACUAGAAUUCGGGAGAGGAUAGCGGAAUUCCCAGUGUAGUAGUGAAAUACGUAGAUAUUGGGAGGAACACCAGUGGCGUAAGCGGCUAUCUGGACCGACAUUGACGCUGAGGCACGAAAGCGUGGGGAUCAAACAGG